GGAUUAGGCAUGCAAGUCGCACGAGAAAGGCUUCUUCGGAAGCCGAGUAAAGUGGCGAACGGGUGAGUAAUGCAUAGACAACUCGCCCUUGAGAUGGGGACAACGCCUCGAAAGGGGUGCUAAUACCCAAUGCCGCCUUGGGCCUGCGGGUCCAGGGUGAAAGGAGGCCUCUGAUUCAAGCUUCCGCUCAAGGAGAGGUUUAUAUCCUAUUAGCUAGUUGGCGGGGUAACGGCCCACCAAGGCUGCGAUGGGUAGCCGACCUGAGAGGGUGACCGGCCACAUUGGGACUGAGACACUGCCCAGACUCCUACGGGAGGCUGCAGUCGAGAAUCUUCCGCAAUGCGCGCAAGCGUGACGGAGCGACGCCGCGUGGGUGAUGAAGGCCUUCGGGUUGUAAAACCCUGUCAGCUACUACGAAACACGGGCGAUGAACAAUCGUCCCGUCUGACUUAAGUAGCAGAGGAAGCACCGGCUAACUACGUGCCAGCAGCCGGGGUAAUACGUAGGGUGCGAACGUUGUUCGGAAUCACUGGGCAUAAAGGGCGCGUAGGCGGUCUGAUAAGUCAGGUGUGAAAUCCCUCGGCCUAACCGAGGAACUGCAUUUGAUACUGUCGGGCUAGAGUACAGGAGGGGAGAGUGGAAUUCCUGGUGGAGCGGUGAAAUGCGUAGAUAUCAGGAGGAACGCCGGCGGCGAAAGCGACUCUCUGGCCUGUUACUGACGCUGAGGCGCGAAAGCUAGGGGAGCAAACGGGAUUAGAUACCCCGGUAGUCCUAGCCCUAAACGAUGGGCACUAAGUAGAGGGGUUUU
rnacentral:rRNA from 1 species